rnacentral:rRNA from 1 species
AUACGGAGGAUGCAAGCGUUAUCCGGAUUUAUUGGGUUUAAAGGGUGCGUAGGCGGAAGCUUAAGCGUGAGGUGAAAUGCCCGGGCUCAACCUGGGAACUGCCUCGCGAACUGGGUUUCUUGAAUGCUCCUGCCGUGGGAGGAAUGUGUGGUGUAGCGGUGAAAUGCAUAGAGAUCACACAGAACACCGAUUGCGAAGGCAUCUCACGAAGGGGUGAUUGACGCUGAGGCACGAAAGCGUGGGGAUCAAACAGGAUUAGAUACCCUGGUAGUCCACGCAGUAAACGAUGAACACUAGGUGUUGGUGGGUAAGCCCCAUCAGUGCCGUCGCAAACGCAGUAAGUGUUCCACCUGGGGAGUACGUCCGCAAGGAUGAAACUCAAAUGAAUUGACGGGG